AAGCGAAAGCCUAAGAAAACGAGCCACUCUGCAGAGUCUGCCUGCUGUAUAAUGAGACCACUGUGGCUCUGCUACGUGUGUCUGUUGUGUUGGGCAUGCUGUCACAGUGGAUGCCGCCGGGGUCUGGUGGCUCGAGAAGCUUCUGGUUCCAGAUCAGAAGGACAGGCUCCUCCAAGCUACGGAGUCUCUGUAGCUGCUGGUGCGCUAUCUGGAAAGCAUGGGCGGGCAAGAGCCACCCCCAACGGCUCCACCUGCUGAUAGUGGAGGCAUGGCAGCCGAGAGGAGAAGCCCUCACUAGACCUCCAGGAUAUCUUUUUCUCACCCACCGUAAAACAGAGACCACCCAGAACAAGAGAAAGGGAGCCAAUGAAAGACUGGCAUUCCACACACAAAUCAUCUAUUGUGGCGGGCAUUCCAUCACUGCAGUGGACCAGGUGGGCAGAGCCUCAGUGACCGGGAGCUGAGCGCUGUGAAGUGACGCUAUUGUGCAGCGCCCACUCCCCGCUUCCGUCAUUUUGGUGUCACCCCGUCGGAUAGUGGUCACCCAGUAUCCCCUAGUGACGCCACUGCACACGCACACAUAUGUACAGUAUUCUGACUUUUUAAAAGUUACAUAAACAAAUUCUAUUAAAGACAAAAGGUAUUACAUAAAGUUAAGUUGCAGUGCCAAUAGCAAUGUGCUGAGAACAGUUAUGUGCUCAACAAUUCAACCUGUUCAUUUCUUAAAAUAGUAAAAAUAUUCAGCAACAGCUGUCAGCUCUUCCUGGUAUACUGCGAAAACAUGUUUGUUAAACCAAGUAUUUCAAAUCUAUAUCUUUUUACUUCACAGUAGCUGACAAAUAG